GCAUGGCCGUCGUCAGUUCGUACUGUGAAGCAUCCUGUUAAGUCAGGCAACGAGCGAGACCCACGCCCACAGUUGCCAGCGUACUCUCUGGAGUGACGGGUACACUGUGGGGACCGCCGCUGCUAAAGCGGAGGAGGAAUGGGCAACGGUAGGUCAGUAUGCCCCGAAUAUCCCGGGCUACACGCGAGCUACAAUGGUUGGUACAAUGGGUAUCUACCCCGAAAGGGGACGGGAAUCUCCUAAAACCAAUCUUAGUUCGGAUUGAGGGCUGCAACUCGCCCUCAUGAAGCUGGAAUCUGUAGUAAUCGUGUCUCAAAAUGGCACGGUGAAUAUGUCCCUGCUCCUU
rnacentral:rRNA from 1 species